rnacentral:rRNA from 1 species
AGGGUUUGAUUCUGGCUCAGGACGAACGCUGGCGGCGCGCCUAACACAUGCAAGUCGAACGAGCGAGAGAGAGCUUGCUUUCUCGAGCGAGUGGCGAACGGGUGAGUAACGCGUGAGGAACUUGCCUCAAAGAGGGGGACAACAGUUGGAAACGACUGCUAAUACCGCAUAAGCCCACGACCCGGCAUCGGGUUGAGGGAAAAGGAGCAAUCCGCUUUGAGAUGGCCUCGCGUCCGAUUAGCUGGUUGGUGAGGUAACGGCCCACCAAGGCAACGAUCGGUAGCCGGACUGAGAGGUUGAACGGCCACAUUGGGACUGAGACACGGCCCAG